UGGGAUAAUUAGGUCAAAGUAGGAGAGCAGAGAAUUUGAAAAGUAGCCUUUCCACCUGCUCCUCCUGGCUGUGCCCUAGAAGAUGGUCCCUCCGCCAUACUUCCUAGAAUCCACUGAGGCCGAAGUUAAACCACACCAUCCUCAGCUGCAGUGACCCUGUGCUGGCCCCCCUGUGCAAGGUCAUUCAUGAGACACCAGCACUGCCUCCGUGGCCUCCGUCGAUCAUUCAUGCCCACUAGAUGCCUUUGGAGUGGAAAUUCCCAGCAGGUGUCACAAUAUGACCUAGAGGAACUCAUCCAUGUUCUGAUGUUAAAUCAACCUUUCAUUCCUGGGAUAAAAUCUACUUGGUCAAAUCCUUUAUGUUGCAACCAAGCUAUUCCAAAUGUGGCUCUAAGGUGAAGAUCUAGGCCAGAGAAAAUCAACUUAAGUCAUUGAAGUAAACAGCAUUGUUUAAGAUACAUGAAUAUAAGAUCAAGAUUUAAGAGCUGCUUAGAGGUGAAAUCCGCAUCUGAGCAAAGGCCCCAGAGGUAAGGGAAAAAACCAGAGGGGUGUAACGUCACAAAUCAAGUUUAGAGUCUUUCAAAUGAAGUAUUCAGCAGUUUAAAGUAGUAGUAUGUGUCAACAAACAAAGUGGAAUCUGAACUUACAAAGUUUCAGUGACGUGAUAAU